rnacentral:rRNA from 1 species
UACGUAGGGUGCGAGCGUUAAUCGGAAUUACUGGGCGUAAAGCGUGCGCAGGCGGUUCGUUAAGUCAGCUGUGAAAGCCCCGGGCUCAACCUGGGAAUUGCGGUUGAAACUGGCGAACUAGAAUCUGGCAGAGGGGGGUGGAAUUCCACGUGUAGCAGGUGGAAAUGCGUAGAGAUGUGGAAGGAACACCGAUGGCGAACGGGCAGCCCCCUGGGCUGAAGCAUGACGA